rnacentral:rRNA from 1 species
UUUCCGGUUGAUCCUGCCGGAGGCCAUUGCUAUUGGGAUCCGAUUUAGCCAUGCUAGUUGUACGAGUUCAGACUCGUAGCGAACAGCUCAGUAACACGUGGCCAAACUACCCUUCGGAGCACCAUACCCUCGGGAAACUGAGGCUAAUAGUGCAUUCCACACUCAGCCUGGAAUGGCGAGUGUGACAAACGCUCCGGCGCCGAAGGAUGUGGCUGCGGCCGAUUAGGUAGACGGUGGGGUAACGGCCCACCGUGCCGAUAAUCGGUACGGGUGGUGAGAGCCAGAACCCGGAGACGGAAUCUGAGACAAGAUUCCGGGCCCUACGGGGCGCACAGGCGCGAAACCUUUACACUGCACGCCACUGCGAUAAGGGGAUCCCAAGUGCGUAGGCAUAGAGCCUACGCUUUUGUACACCGUAGGGUGGUGGACGAAUAAGGGCUGGGCAAGACCGGUGCCAGCCGCCGCGGUAAUACCGGCAGCCCAAGUGAUGGCCGAUCUUAUUGGGCCUAAAGCGUCCGUAGCUGGCCGCACAAGUCCAUCGGGAAAUCCACCUGCUCAACAGGUGGGCGUCCGGUGGAAACUGUGUGGCUUGGGACCGGAAGGCGCGACGGGUACGUCCGGGGUAGGAGUGAAAUCCUGUAAUCCUGGACGGACCGCCGAUGGCGAAAGCACGUCGCGAGAACGGAUCCGACAGUGAGGGACGAAAGCUAGGGUCUCGAACCGGAUUAGAUACCCGGGUAGUCCUAGCCGUAAACGAUGCCUGUUAGGUGUGGCUCCCACUACGAGUGGGUGCUGUGCCGUAGGGAAGCCGCUAAACAGGCCGCCUGGGAAGUACGUCCGCAAGGAUGAAACUUAAAGGAAUUGGCGGGGGAGCACCACAACCGGAGGAGCCUGCGGUUUAAUUGGAGUCAACGCCGGAA